AAGGUGCACCGUUUCAAAUGUUUUCCAAAAA
rnacentral:piRNA from 1 species